rnacentral:rRNA from 1 species
GAUGAACGCUGGCGGCAUGCUUAACACAUGCCAGUCGGACGGAAAGGGCUGUUUUCCGUGGCGGACGGGUGAGUAACGCGUAAGAACCUGCCCUUGGGAGGGGAACAACAACUGGAAACGGUUGCUAAUACCCCGUGGGCAGUGGAGCAAAAGGAGGAAUGCGCCCGAGGAGGGGCUUGCGUCUGAUUAGCUAGUUGGUGAGGUAAUAGCUUACCAAGGCGAUGAUCAGUAGCUGGUCCGGGAGGAUGAUCAGCCAGCCUGGGACUGAGACACGGGCCGGACUCCUGCGGGAGGCAGCAGUGGGGGAUUUUCCGCAAUGGGCGAAAGCCUGACGGAGCAAGGCCGCGUGGAGGUAGAAGGCCCACGGGUCGUGAACUUCUUCUCUCGGGGAAGAAACAUUACCGGAAUCGGAGAAAUAGGCAUCGGCAAAUUCGGG